rfam:Mesocricetus auratus contig058128, whole genome shotgun sequence.
UAUUUGGAUCCUUUAGGAUCCACAUGAAGUCUCUUACAGGAAGUUU